rnacentral:tRNA from 1 species
ACGCCUGUAGCUCAGUUGGAUAGAGCACGAGCCUCCGACGCUCGGUGCCGAUGGUUCGAAUCCAUUCAGGCGUACCA